GUGCUUCAGGGAUGAACAAGUCCCUGAUAUUAGAACUCACAUCCAUCCAUCCACUUUGUCAGUGGCCUACUUUGGUUGCCUUCUGAUCAUUUUCGGAUGGUACAUUC